rnacentral:rRNA from 1 species
GGUUAAGCGACUAAGCGUACACGGUGGAUGCCCUGGCAGUCAGAGGCGAUGAAGGACGUGCUAAUCUGCGAUAAGCGUCGGUAAGGUGAUAUGAACCGUUAUAACCGACGAUUUCCGAAUGGGGAAACCCAGUGUGUUUCGACACACUAUCAUUACGUGAAUACAUAGCGUAAUGAAGCGAACCGGGGGAACUGAAACAUCUAAGUACCCCGAGGAAAAGAAAUCAACCGAGAUUCCCCCAGUAGCGGCGAGCGAACGGGGAGCAGCCCAGAGCCUGAAUCAGCAUGUGUGAUAGUGGAACGGUAUGGAAAGGCCGGCGAUACAGGGUGAUAGCCCCGUACACAAAAUUGCAUGUGUUGUGAGCUCGAUGAGUAGGGCGGGACACGUGGUAUCCUGUCUGAAUAUGGGGGGACCAUCCUCCAAGGCUAAAUACUCCUGACUGACCGAUAGUGAACCAGUACCGUGAGGGAAAGGCGAAAAGAACCCCGGCGAGGGGAGUGAAAAAGAACCUGAAACCGUGUACGUACAAGCAGUGGGAGCAUCCUUCGGGGUGUGACUGCGUACCUUUUGUAUAAUGGGUCAGCGACUUAUAUUCUGUAGCAAGGUUAACCGAAUAGGGGAGCCGCAGGGAAACCGAGUCUUAACUGGGCGUUAAGUUGCAGGGUAUAGACCCGAAACCCGGUGAUCUAGCCAUGGGCAGGUUGAAGGUUGGGUAACACUAACUGGAGGACCGAACCGACUAAUGUUGAAAAAUUAGCGGAUGACUUGUGGCUGGGGGUGAAAGGCCAAUCAAACCGGGAGAUAGCUGGUUCUCCCCGAAAGCUAUUUAGGUAGCGCCUCGUGAAUUCAUCUUCGGGGGUAGAGCACUGUUUCGGCUAGGGGGUCAUCCCGACUUACCAACCCGAUGCAAACUACGAAUACCGAAGAAUGUUAUCACGGGAGACACACGGCGGGUGCUAACGUCCGUCGUGAAGAGGGAAACAACCCAGACCGCCAGCUAAGGUCCCAAAGUCACAGUUAAGUGGGAAACGAUGUGGGAAGGCUCAGACAGCCAGGAUGUUGGCUUAGAAGCAGCCAUCAUUUAAAGAAAGCGUAAUAGCUCACUGGUCGAGUCGGCCUGCGCGGAAGAUGUAACGGGGCUAAACUGUGCACCGAAGCUGCGGCAGCGACACUAUGUGUUGUUGGGUAGGGGAGCGUUCUGUAAGCCUGCGAAGGUGUCCUGUGAGGG